rnacentral:siRNA from 1 species
ACUAUCUACAACAUUGUGGACUG